UACAGAGGGUGCAAGCGUUGUCCGGAAUCACUGGGCGUAAAGGGCGCGUAGGCGGCGCAACAAGUCACUUGUGAAAUCUCCGGGCUUAACUCGGAGCGGCCAAGUGAUACUGUCGUGCUAGAGUGCGGAAGGGGCAACUGGAAUUCUCGGUGUAGCGGUGAAAUGCGUAGAUAUCGAGAGGAACACCUGCGGCGAAGGCGGGUUGCUGGGCCGACACUGACGCUGAGGCGCGAAAGCUAGGGGAGCGAACGGG
rnacentral:rRNA from 1 species